rnacentral:ncRNA from 2 species
UUAGGGUCUGUGGUUGAGAGUCGAUGCCAGUCGCAGGCGAAACGAUCCACAUAAAUCGGGCAAAGUCCCGAUGAGCAUGGUGCGGCUUAGAAGUAAGUCCGUCCGAGAAAUCGAGAGGGGUAGUAGUGGGGAGCGUAAAGCUUAGUAGCGAACCCUCCAGACGGCGGGUGUGGGGGCAAAGACCAGGUCAGCCUA